rnacentral:rRNA from 1 species
UACGGAGGGUGCAAGCGUUAAUCGGAAUUACUGGGCGUAAAGCGUGCGCAGGCGGUUUGUUAAGUCUGCUGUGAAAUCCCCGAGCUCAACUUGGGAAUUGCAGUGGAUACUGGCAAGCUGGAGUACGGUAGAGGAAGGUGGAAUUCCCGGUGUAGCAGUGAAAUGCGUAGAGAUCGGGAGGAACACCAGUGGCGAAGGCGGCUACCUGGACCAGCACUGACACUGAAGCACGAAAGCGUGGGGAGCAAACAGG